rnacentral:misc_RNA from 1 species
UCCUGCUCAGGUCGAAUGGUGAAUGCAGCUGGGCAGAGCCUCGCUGCAUUCGCCAUCCUUUGCAGGAUAAAGCCGAUAUUUUAAGACAGUAACCAGCUAUUCCCUGUAUAUAUUUAACUAUUGGGUUAGACAAAAAUAUGAUUGCUGUUAUUUUACUUAACACUGAGGUAAACUAACUAAAAUGUUGAUUCAAAAGGCGAAGACGUGAAGAGCAGCUUGUUUUAAAGAUUGGGACAGAUUGAUGAGAAGCAUGUUGGAUAUGGGACAGAUUAACUAGCAUUCUUUAAAUGCGAGGGAAGAUCAACAACUGAACAAGUCAUAUUUUCCGAUUUACCAUACGUUUGUAACACAAUGUUGGAAAUAUAUAAAAAGAAGUUAAAAGUGAAAACUGUAGAACAUGAAGUGAGGUAGACUGCCAGUUCAAGCCCAGUGAGGGGACGCAGUCUUGAUAACAGGGUUGAAAAGACAGCGACCGAAAAUGGCGUUGACGAAAAUCAAAGGACUCCAGAUGUGGUGUCGCAAGAUGAGCGAUGGAUACCGUGACGUUGAGGUCAAGGACAUGACCUCUUCCUUCAAGAGCGGUCUGGCAUUCUGUGCCAUCAUCCACCGAUUUCGGCCAGAUCUAAUAGACUAUGAUUCCCUGUCCAAGGAAAACGUCUUUGAUAACAACAAUUUGGCUUUUACUGUCGCAGAACAGGAACUGGACAUUCCGGCCUUGCUGGAGGCUGCCGACAUGGUGGCCAUGAAAGUUCCAGACAAACUCAGCAUUAUCACCUACGUCUCCCAGUACCACAACUACUUCAGAGACAAACCACAGUUGGGAGGACCUGGUGUGAAGUCUGCCGUGUCUGCUGGCAACGUGUCCCUCAAGCGUCACACAACAUCACCCCCUGCAUCUGCUCCUGAAACCAAACGAUUCACGCCGUCCAAAGACAGCAAUACAGGAAACGUGUCCACUCCAUCGCAGGUAACGAAGAAACAGACAACAAUCGGAGACAAGUGUGACAUCUGCCACAACAAGGUGUACCUGUUAGAGAGACAGAUAGAGAACGGAAAACUCUACCACAGAUCCUGCUACAGACACAGCGAGUUCUCUCCAACAUCGUCUCUCUUCAAAAACUCUUCUUCUUUCUUGUCACACUCGGGUCAUACCGUUAGCUCAGAAAAAGCUAAGAAUACAGAAAACAAACCAUCAUGGGCAAAGGGAGAAGUGACAUCCAAGUCAGAUGCUGCUGCUUCUCAGAGGAUUAGUCCUGACUUGAAGAGAAACUUAUUUCACCAUGAAAAUGAGGUGGAGAUGGCGAAGAGUGAAACGAAAGAAGAUAACGUCAUUACGAGAUACUUGAAUCAGAUGAAGGAGAACGAGAAAGUCGAGGUUCCAAAGUAUCAGAAAAAAAGACCGCUUAUCUUUCAGGUAAAUACUGACAAAGAGGACAAACAACCUGAGACGUCUCGAUCUUCACCGCCACAUUUCAGUUCUAAGGUUCCCAACAAACCUGAAGUUCAGACCACAGAAAACAGAGACGUUAAAGACAGGACUAAACAUGAGGUAAAGACUAGCAUAAUUCCUGGUUCCAAAAGCGAACAGUCACUUAAUGAUAAAAGUGAGUUGUCCAUAGCUGUGAGCAACAGGGGGAUUUCUAAUUCAAAAAGUGUGGACAAUGUGAAAGUGAAUAAUACAUCUGUGGGUGAAAACGUUGCAGUACCGAAACCUAAAGAUCGUAAUGUAGUUAAACAGCAACCACAAAAGAACACUGAUCAGAAACAGGAUUCAGGUGAAGGGAAGAAGCAAGCCAUAAUAAGCCCAGUGACAGCCCACAGGGCUAUGUUCGAUGAUACAAUGCCUGUGAGAAAGCCGGUGUUGGGCAGACCUAAAACUCCUCCUCCUCAACUAUUUAAAGCUGGACAACACCUGUUGAAUACUUCUAGUUCUUCUGAAUCUCCAGACUCCCCGCCCCCUCCUCUUCCAUCAUCUCAACCCCCCUCUGCUCCUUCUAGUGCUGAAAAAUCAAACCUGAAAUCACUUCCCACUUCACCAAAGAAAACGUCACAAAGUAAUAUUGUGUUAAAAACCGAGUUUUCCUUGAGUCCUGUUCCUAAGGCCAGACAGAUGAAGAAGAGUCCUCAACCUGUUAAGCAGGAAUCUCCAACCAGUACACCUGCCAAGCCAUUGAGAGGUGCUGAGACUUCUAAGAGAACAGAGAUACCAAUGGAGGUUGACAAUAAAGUGACUAAACAGACCGAGUCCAUUCCAUCUGAUCCCAAUAAAGAUGGUAAGAAUGUUCUUAGUGGGCUUCUCAAGUCUUUGUCUCAUGUUCGCCAGGCUGAAGAGGUCUAUCCUUCUUCCCAUCCCACAGAUAUGUCUAUGUCUUCUGCUAACUGGAAGGUGUCUGAUGCUAGUCUGUCUUCCACAAACUCCAGUAUUACUAUCAGUUGUACUUCCACAAAAACGAAGUCUAAAGAAACUUCUCAGGUCGGGGAAUCAAAUGUGUUGAAAAAGGUUCAGAAUUCAGAAAUGACAGGCAACAAAAGUGGUUUCUUAAAGAAAGAUGUUAAAAAUAAAUUUGUUCAAGAUUCUAAGCAUCCGGCUCCUGUUCAUAAGAAAGACAUCAGAACUGAAACAAAAUCAGUGGAUAAUAAGAGUCAGGAUGUCGGUGUGUCCAACAGGGUAGGAAACAGAACAAAUGAUAAAUCCAGACUCAAAUCUGCUUUUGUAACAGCAGAUAUGAAGCUUACUGAAGAUGAAAGCUCUAAAAGUGGUGUGAGCUGGAAAAAGGAUUUGGAAAAAAAGGAUAAAUUAAAAUCAAAAUCAACAGAAAAUUUGUGGCAAAGUGACAAAUCAAAAAUGCAACAAGAUGACAACAUUCCAUCAUGGAAAAAAGAACUUGAAAAGGCUAAGAAAUCUAAGGGAUUACCUGAUGGUGAGAAAAGUGUGUCUGCAGCCAAAGAUCAAAAGGCAGCUGAGGUGGUUCCAUCAUGGAAGAAAGAAUUGAAGAAAAAUGAAACUGAAAACGUUAAAAUAAAAUCUAGUCUCUUACAAGGCAAUGGAUUACAUCGUACUGGGGUCAAAGAAGAUGUAUCACAGAAGAAUGAAAAAGUUGUUUCUAAAAUUAAAAUUGACACAGUCCCUAAUGUUCCAUCAUGGAAGAAACAAAAUGAUGAAAAAUCGAACAUUGGUUCUAAGUUGCAGCAGGAGAGUGAAAAACCAUUUUCAAAAGCCGGUGUUACAGAAGAUAACAAAAACCUACCAUUUUGGAAAAAGACAUCUGCAGAGAAAACUGCAGCAAAUUCAGGACCUAGUUUAAUUCAGGACAAAUCAGAGUCUCAAGAUAAGCUAAAAAAUGUGAAAGACAAACCUGUUUCAGAUUUAAGACCAGAAAGCAAAACACCAGUUCCAAAGAAAAGAGGUUUACAUGCUGUCAAUGGUGAAGUUGCUCCAUCGUCGGGCAAGGCGGAUAGACCAAGGAUAACAGAACAUCCUUCACAGAUGGAUGUAGACGGUGAUGCUGCAGAUUGGCAGACGGAGGCAAAACGAAGAUUGCAAAAGAAUCAGAGGCAAUUUGUUGACCCAGAAAGGAGGAAAUCAUCUGAUUUUGUUUCAAAGAAUGAACCCGAGAAAAAGAUGGAUCAACCUCAGACACCAGAAAUUGUAUCAACCAAACAUAAUGAUCCAGGAUCUACGGUUUAUCAUUCGACACCUAAAUCUAGUGAGCAGAAGUCUAGCAUCAAUCAGUCGAUACCAAAGUCUCCGACCUCUCCUCCGUCAAAGGUCCGCGUUCCAGCGCGACCUCCAAGACGACCUCCGUCUCCGCCUCAACAGCGUAAAAAGAUUCCCGUCGACACAAAGUUCAGCUUCUCAUUCAAGCCAUUCUCAUCCACCAAUAACAAUAAACCACCAACUGUCUCCCCGAUAGGGCCUCCAAAGAAUCAGAAUUCACCUCUAAAGCUGACACCACCUAGACCUCCACCUCCAAAGAUUGAGUUUAGUCCGGGUCAACUAAACCCCGUGGAGUUCCAGAAUCAGCUGUGUGACAUUGAUUCCAAACUCAGUGAGCUGGAGCUGAGAGGACGGGAACUGGAGGACUCCAUUAGAAACGAUCAGAGAUCAGUCAAGGGGAAUAAGUACAUUUUUCUAGGCUAGUACAACGGAGGAAGAAGAUGACAUGAUGAUUGAAUGGUUCAAGUUAAUCAGCGCAAAGAAUGAGCUGGUCCGUGCAGAGGCUGACCUCAUCUACAUACAGAAGGAGCAGGAAUUGGAGGAUGAAC